GUGCAUACUUUGGCAGCACAUAUACAAAAAUCGGAGCAAAAUAGAGAAGAUUAGCAUAUCCCAUGAACAAGGAUCACACACACAGACACACACACACACACACAAAUU